UCUUCACAACCACAGGAUGGGAGGAGCACUUAAAUAUCUAUUUCAUCCAAUAAAUCUUUCAAUUUUGAGAAAUAACUUGUCAUUGAAUCAGUACUUUGUUUGAGUUUCAAUUCUUGUUCACAAAUGAUAAAUUCGAGUGAGGUUCAGUUAUCAAAAAUUAACGUCUUCCGCACCUUUGCCUUUCAUAUUUGUCCUAUGUUCGCUACCUAUUUUGAUCAAACUUUACUUCUUAUCAAUGACAAUACAACUUUGUUUUAGCAAAGAAUACUAUCAUAGUAGUUAAUAUAUUAUUAACAAAAGUACUGAAGCAAUAAAGCAAAAUAAGAAAAUGACUUGGGAAAACAAGUUCCUGGAAAAUAAAAUACAGUAGCUACCAAAAUAAAACAAGAAGAUAAGCAUGAACAGAAGGAAUGAAAAGCAAGCCCAGCUGCCGUGAUAUGAUGCCAGCUUUGAACACCUCAAGCUCUCAUAAGGUGUUACGGGAUCAUAACAGUUGAAUUCUCUUCAGGCAAACAUAGACAGGUACUAUUGCAGAAAGAAAACGGAUGGGGAUAAUAUGAAGCACACUGGAAAUUAAAACUGCUUUCCUCCCACCAUGUGCUAGGAUCCUUCCUUUCAAGCCUGUAAUUUUCUCUUAACCUUUUUUAGCAAUUCACUGUAAUAUAACUUUCUUUUUUUGGAUGAGUUAUUGGAUAUUCUAGGUAUGCGAAAGGGAAUUGUCAUCUGGGCAUCCCAGUACAUUGCUCAACUUAUCCAAUCAACUCAGGUGCCACAUUUUGAUUCCUGUAGAAGACACUCCUUAUCUUUAUUAACACGGAAUACAUAAGCAACCCUUUGAAC